rnacentral:piRNA from 1 species
UCUUGUCUAAAUUGGAUGGGCUGAGAGC